CGCACGGACUAAGUGCUACUAGGUUUCAAACGGGACUGACUCAAACCACAGGGUUUUAUACUGACACCAUCAUUAAAAAUAUAGUCUGCAGUUUCUGUUGUUUUAAUAUUGCCCAAAAGGAUGAGCAAACCCGAUCCGUAACUGUCCCUAGAAGGAAAAGUUUGCGAGUCAGACGCGAACAAAUGCCGUACUGGUUGCUGUUCACUGGGUGGCGGCAGAAGACGGGUUUCCCGCAUUCCAGAGGUCAGGUGUAGAAGAGGAUGUACCGGAGGACCCCAUGAUGUCCAUGGCUUUGAGGUUUCGGCACUUAAUGACGGUCAGAGUCAUUCUUCCAGCCGUGGGCAGGUAGCAGAAUCUGCAGGAAUCCUUGGCGUCAGAUGGGACACCAGACUAUCCAAAGCACCUCACAUCUACCAGAGACGUCAUUUUACCGGAACCGUCCUGGACCAUGCAGAGGGGACCUGCAGUGACACUGGUAAUGGGAACACGCAAACACUGACUCAGUGCCCCUCCGCUUUGUGGCAUCAUCGCUACCCCCAUGUACACCGCGCGUGUGUAAAUAUCACCGGGACAUACAAGGCUGAUAUCCUCUGCACCCCGCUGUCCUCAUCCACAUUAUUCGCAUCUCUGCUGGCUGUUUUUCUGUAUUUAUUCUGGCGACUUCUCUCUCCAACGCGGUGACACAGGUUUCUCCAGAGAAUCAGCGUGAUUCUGAGUCUCCGCCACACACUGACUCACCUUUAGACGCUGACUCACUCUUGUGCCUUGGACCAUGGUGGGUUGGGCGCCCCCUCCCUUACCACGGUGAUCCUAUGACUGCCCUGUACAUAGUCGGCCUAACCGCCCCGCCAAGGCCACGACACCCACAGCAAAUUAAUCCUAUAGCUGACUUAUAGCUAUGGCUGUUCUACUAAUUCAAAUUCAAAAUCAGUAAUAUUAGCAUUUUACGCCAAAUAUUGUGACACAAAUAUUAACUGAAAUCUACAGAGCUUUGACAAUUUACUGUAAGUGAUAAAGUUGUGGAUUUCUCCAGAGAUCACCGGUAAUUGGGGUGGGAAACCAUUUGCAUAAAAAUGUGGUGUUUUGUAGAGUGUGACUCAUUAAUGGGGCAAUUUAUACUAAUGGUACCGCAGUCCACAGGAGACCCAGUCCACAGCAUCCAGGGUGUGUCCUGCUCUGUGCCCCGUCCUUCCUGGAUCACUGAGACCUCUCACUGGAUAAGCGUUUAUAGAUGGAUGGACGAUACAGUAGUCAUUGGGGUUCACAUGGUCGGUUCCUCUCAGGAUUCUGAAUCCUACGUCUAUUCAUCCACUUUGCUUUGAUCUAAAGUCAUGUAGUGUUUACAACCUGCCCCCGAACAGCAGCUUUUCAAGAACAUGAAUCUGUCUCAUGGCCUUAAAGCAGGAAUCUCCCUUUUUGAAGCACCUGCUGUACACAUUGUUGCCAGUGAAAUUUUUGCCAGUACAAUGUAUAGUCUCAGCAUGAUUGCUUUGUUCAGGAAUGACAUGCCUGCACAGACCUUCCCAGGCCUCACACCUGCCUUUCUGACUGCGAUGUCACCAUGGUGCCACACAGACAUGGAGGGUAUUUUCCUGCCUCCCGUAGGAAACCUGCAUUUAUUUGCAUUGCUGAAUUGUCAUUAUUUCUGAUGAAGUAUUUGUCUACAGACUCUGCUGUUGUCUCUUUCUAAUAACCACUUAAUUAUGUGUCAGCUACUAUUUAACUGUCCUAUAAUAUACUUAAUUCAUGCAGUUUAGAAAGAAUAACGUGCCCAGAACUGAACCCUGUGGAACACCACUAGUGACACUGGCCGAACUGCAAGUCAUCCCACUCAAAAUGACAACCUGCAUUAUAGAUUUUAGGCAUUAAUUGUGAAAUGACGUGAAGUAAAGCAAAUAAUGAGCUUUCAUGCUGUUUAUCACCGUCGUCGCGUACCUAAAUAUGCAAUUUGUGUUUGAUAACUGUACCGGAUUUCAACAUGUCUGACCAUUAAUCUGUAAUAACCUGUUAUUAAUUUUAAUUAGCAUGAGAUUCUCUUGUCCCUCCCUUGCUUACAUCAUUAGUGACAUUUCUAUCAGUUCUCUUUGUUUAUUCCCAGUGGAAGCAGAAAGCUUUGCUCUAUAUACUGUCACUAACCAGCUAAAAAAAAAAACGGUAACAGCUUAAUUAAUCGGCCUUUAGCACGACACGAAAUAGUCAGGCGCUAUACCAUUUGCACCAGGACAGGACUGUCAGUUCAGGGGUGAACAUUACGAGUCCCUCCACAGAAAUACACAUCUUAAUGAAGCACCUCACUUAAUGGCUGGAGGGACACGUAUUAAAAUCAUUUGGAAGCUGCCUGUUAGGAUCUAUUUAACUUGCUGUUUCACUUGCUAAUGGUCAGCUAGUUAGCACUUUGUGUAUUAGUGCUGUAUUUAUAAAUCUGAGACCCGCUAUCUAUUUUGCACGUUUCAUAAUGGAGUUGCAUUCCAUGCUCCUGGUGCUUCUUCUGUAAACGAGCUCGGAAACCAUAGUAUCCACCCUCCCCCUCACCCCGCCCUGCAGUUUUCAGGCUUAAUUACUGUGUGUUUGCACAGCUGUUGUGGCUUACCCCCCCCCAACCCCCCCUCAAUUUUUAAUUACCACCCAUCCUGAAAACCAAGCGUAUCACGUAGUGCAUGUAUAUGUUUUUUUCACUCUCGAUAGGGUGGUCUUCCUCACUGCUAGCAAUGGUCUUCCUCGCCAGAGCUGGCAGACUCCUCGUGAUCGGAGACGAUCCCCAGAAAGCGCUCACCAUCCAUGCUGUCUGGGAAGGAUCAAUUAUAUUUAUGGUCAUUAGCAAUUCAGACCAAAUGGUGUCAUGACUGAGAAAUAAAUUACCUUUAACAAUCCGUGACGGACGUCUCAGGAUCAACGGAAAGGAACAAUCUAGUGAUCCAUCAUACGUCCUAGAAAUUGGCCUAAGGUUGCAGUAUGCUGAAUGAUGGAUUUGGCUUCGGGUCAAAGGUCACAUAAAGCCAAUCGAUCUUAAAGGCCACACGGAGCUCCCGCUGAUGCAUCUCUUGCAUGUUGCCACCGUACUGGUGCAUGCAGACGUAUCAGCACGCAUUUUAAAAGGACUGCAUGUUCAUCCUGGGGCCCUGCGAUUCUCCACACUUCCCCUGGGAUUAAUUACUGCAUUUUUGAAGUAGCCUUGAAGCAUAUUUAAUCAAGGUUGUUGGGCUUGGAAUAUACUUCACUACUCAGAAAACCUUAACAUGACAUCAUACAAAAGUCUGAAUUCUGCAGCUUGUGAUUGGUUAUCAGCAUAUAGAGUGACUAGUUGAAUUUUCCUACAUACAUUUUAAUGGAAAGCUUCAAACUAUUACCUCCGGGUAAAUUUCAGGAGGUGACUAUGGUUAAAUUGACCACCAGCCCUUGACAGCUAUAAUUUGAGUGAAUUAUGGAAAGUUAAUAUAAAGAGUUCAAGGAAACAAAUAACUGAGAAACAGGGAGAGGAGUCUCCCUCCAAGCACAGAUGCUCCCCCAGGCAAAACAGCAGCAUACCGAUGGUAGCGCCUCUGCGCUUCCUGGAGCCACACCAGAAGGGGAACACCUUCUCUGUCAGAGGCCGAGACACUGGCAGCGAGCCUCGGGGGGUAAGAGGAUAACUGAGUGAGACCCAGAUGCUUCUGUGAUACAUGUCAUUCACCCAGGGAGGCGUGUGAGUCUGAUGGUAACCCAUAGAUGCCACUAGAGAGCCAAUCAAAAAUUUAAAUUCAGUAUUAAUCAGUGUGUAUUCAACUUUAAUUUAGCAGCAAUUCAGCAGUAAUUCCAUGCUAUUCCACCACCAAUUCCACAUUGGUUCAGCGCUAAUUAAAUGGCAAUUAAAUUCAGCACUACUCAAGAACACUUGACAGCACCGGCGGGCAGGUUGUAUGUUGUUGGGGGUGGGGGCACCCUCCUUAGUGUAUGCACAGCCCCGAUAUGCUAUCGCCAUGGCAAUACCAACAUCAGGGCGAGGGCAGGAGAGGAAAUCCAUAACUCCAUUGAGAGACGCAGUUGCCAGCGUGUUCCACAUUCCCAAACAUCUGGGACAAGUCACAGGUGGUGAGGAAGGUGCCAAAACAUCGAGUCAUGAAGACGCUGGAAACAUGUGCAACAGAUGACCAGGAGUUAUUUGGCAAAUGGUGUGUGAGAAGCAGCGUCGCCGUAACCAAACAAACGAGUGUGUGUAAGCCACAGGCAAUGUGUAGCUCAGCACGUGAGGGAUCUGUGUUCAGAAGGUCAUGGGUUCAAAUCCCCUGGUUGGCAGAAUAGUCAUCCUCAAUAGGCCCUUAAACAAUGGCCCUUAACCCCAAGAGCUCCAGGGACACUGGGUGACCCUGCUGUAUAAUCCUCACUUGUAUAAAACAUACCUGCUAAAUAAGAAAAUGUCAAGCCAUUCAUCCAUUAUGUACCGCUUAUCCAAUAACAAUAAGAACCCCAUCUGUGAUAUACAUAAGACAAUAAAAUGAAUACAGUUUCAGGGGGUGUAGCCUACCUGGUUUUCUGAUUG